ensembl:misc_RNA Y_RNA Y RNA
GGCUGGUCCAAUGGCAGUGGGUUAUCAGAACUUAUUAACAUUAGUGUCACUAAAGUUGGUAUACCACCCCCCCCCACUGCUAAAUUUGACUGGCUUUAA